rnacentral:rRNA from 1 species
AACGAACGCUGGCGGCAGGCCUAACACAUGCAAGUCGAACGCCCCGCAAGGGGAGUGGCAGACGGGUGAGUAACGCGUGGGAAUCUACCCAGUUCUACGGAAUAACCCAGGGAAACUUGGACUAAUAUCGUAUACGCCCUACGGCGGCAAGAUUUAUCGGAAUUGGAUGAGCCCGCGUGGGAUUAGCUAGUUGGUGGGGUAAUGGCCUACCAAGGGGACGAUCCAUAGCUGGUCUGAGAGGAUGAUCAGCCACACUGGGACUGAGACACCGCCCAGACUCCUACGGGAGGCAGCAGUGGGGAAUAUUGGACAAUGGGCGCAAGCCUGAUCCAGCCAUGCCGCGUGAGUGAUGAAGGCCUUAGGGUUGUAAAGCUCUUUCAGUGGGGACGAUAAUGACGGUACCCACAGAAGAAGCCCCGGCUAACUUCGUGCCAGCCGCCGCCGUAAGAC